rnacentral:rRNA from 1 species
UCAAGCCAGUAAGGGCAUACGGUGGAUGACUUGGCGUCAAGAGGCGAUGAAAGACGUUGGAACCUGCGAAAAGCUACAGGGAGCUGGUAACCGAGCUGUGAUCUGUAGAUGUCUGAAUGGGGCAACCCACCCGCAAGGGUAUCGUGCACUGAAUGCAUAGGUGUACGAGGCAAACCCAGGGAACUGAAACAUCUAAGUACCUGGAGGAAAGGAAAGCAACAUGCGACUCCGUAAGUAGCGGCGAGCGAAAGCGGAUAGAUGUGAACUCUGUGAACACGUUGGAAUGCGUGACCAAAGACGGUGAAAGUCCGGUAGCGGAAUGUAGCAUCAUAGCUCUAGAGUAGGCUCGGGCUCGUGGAACCCGGGUUGAAUAUGGGAGGUCCACCUUCCAAGGCUAAGUACUCCUUGACGACCGAUAGUGUACCAGUACCGUGAGGGAAAGGUGA